CACCAAUUUGUAAGUCGCUCUGGAUAAGAGCGUCUGCUAAAUGACUUAAAUGUAAUGUAAAUGUAAUCUUGCAGACAUCGAUUCAGCUUUGAUCUAACCAUUCACCAGAGUAGUAGAGCAGAGAAUGAGCGUAAAGUACAGCAUAAACAGAAGCUCCGAAUGUGAUCCGCACAUGCGCCGACGUUUCGUGAUCUUUAGCCUGGAGAAAAAUAUCUGAAAAGUCGGAUAAGCAGCCACUCUUUUAAGGACACUGCCUUAACACCUGAAAUGACAGGCUGCAUUUACACAGGCAACCAAAUUCAGAUCUUGUGACAAUAAUUGGGCAAAAGAUCAGAAUUGGGCUGCCUGUGUAAACCCAGCCUUAGUACUGGUUCUUACCUUAUCAACCACGCCAACGAGACCAAUCAUAAUGCAGGAAGUUGUACACAUGACAUUCGGACGGGCUGGUCACAACAAAAAGGCAGAUUUUUACACCAUCAGACAGCGUUCUACAAAGUACGUUUUACGCUCGUGGAUUUCUUUUCCUCUGCUACUACUAAGUAACUGGCAUUGGUGCUCGUUGCAGGUAGACAUUUUAAAGGUUUAACCUUUUAACUACAACUUAAACAAUCUCACAAAUAUUGUGGUAUUUAAUAUUUUCAAGAUUUCUCUGAACUCUUCCUGCAGGAUGUCAUCCUGUGGCAUCACAGAGGGAGGCUGUGCUUAUUUGGCUUCAGCUCUAUGUUCAAACCUCUUGUACCUGAGAACCCUAGUACUCUGUGACAACCUGCACAAUUCAGGAGUGAAGCUGCUCUCUGCUGGACUGGGGAAUAAACAUUGUGAACUGGAGACACUGAGGCUUUCUGGCUGUCUUGUCUCAAUGGAAGGAUGUGCUUCUCUGGCUUCAGCUCUGAGAUAAACACCCUCACACCUGCGAGAGCUGGAUCUGAGCUACAAUCACCCAGGAGACAGAGGAGUGAGACUGCUCUCUGAUGUACUGGGCGAUCCACUCUUCAUACUAAAGUAAAUCAGUGUGGAACACAAUGAAGAGUGCUACUUAAAACCAGGCCUGAAGAAGUAUGUCUGUGCGCUCACACUGGACCCUAACACAGCACACAAAAAGCUCUCUCUGUCUAACAACGGAAGAACUGUGACAUGGGAGGAUGAUGAUCAUCCAUGUUUGCCUCAAACAGAGAGAUUUAAUGACUGUCCUCAGGUGCUGUGUGGAGAGGGUCUGACUGGGUGCUGUUAUGGGGAGGCAGAGUGUAGUGGGAAAGGGUUUCAUGUAGGUGUUGCAUAUAAACACAUGAGCAGGGUUGGAAAAGGGCAUAACUGUUUGCUUGGUUACAAUGACAAAUCCUGGAGCCUAAGACUCCUCAAACAUGGUUUCCUCAAACUCUCCGUCUGGCACAAAAAUGAGCACACGGUCAUACAUGCCCCCUCUUCCAGCACUGACAGAGUUGGGGUGUAUCUGAACUCCUCACAAGGCAUUCUGUCCUUCUACCUAGUCUACUCUGACCUACCUCCACACAUUCCAGUCCACCUUCACUGAACCACUAUCCAGCAUUUUCAGUCAAUGACUAUUCAUCAGUGUCCCUGUGUUAGGUCUUAAAUUGGCGUAGAGAAAAGGAGGAUUAUGUUGAAUGUUUACUAAUAAACUGCUGUCCUUCUGAGUCCAAGAUAGAGAUAGUCUAGACCAUAUCCAGUCUAGACCAUAUCCAGUUGACCAAUACAUGAAAAUACUCAAUUCAUAUUAUCCAUAAUUGUUUGAACUCUUUCCCCCCAGUACAUUGCAAAAUUACAAACAUUUCAACGUUUCGAAAGAACCUGGAUUCCCGAUCUGAGGUCCUACUGUAUACGAACUGUAUACUUAUUCAAUAUAGGGGUUGAAAGUUUGACCUGUUCUGUAUGAUAUGUUGUUGCGUUCAGAUACAAGGGGAGCUUUGUUUCUGUACAUUGUUCUCAGGGUCCGGUGUGUUUUUAUUUUUGAAUAAUAGAAAUACAUUUUAUCAAACUAUUACAUGUACUAUAUGUAUGAUUGUGGUCU